UCCUACGGGAGGCAGCAGUAGGGAAUUUUGCGCAAUGGGGGAAACCCUGACGCAGCAACGCCGCGUGAACGAUGACGCUUUUCGGAGUGUAAAGUUCUGUCAGUGGGGACGAAAUUUGACGGUACCCACAGAGGAAGCACCGGCUAACUCCGUGCCAGCAGCCGCGGUAAUACGGGGGGUGCAAGCGUUGUCCGGAAUCAUUGGGCGUAAAGAGUUCGUAGGUGGUAUGUUAAGUCUGGUGUUAAAGCCAGAAGCUCAACUUCGGUUCGGCACUGGAUACUGGCAAACUUGAAUGCGGUAGAGGUAAAGGGAAUUCCUGGUGUAGCGGUGAAAUGCGUAGAUAUCAGGAGGAACAUCGGUGGCGUAAGCGCUUUACUGGGCCGUAAUUGACACUGAGGAACGAAAGCCAGGGUAGCAAAUGGGAUUAGAUACCCCAGUAGUCCUCGCCGUAAACGAUGUCAACUAGUUGUUCGUGUCACUAAGACGUGAGUAACGCAGCUAACGCACUAAGUUGACCGCCUGGGGAGUACGGCCGCAAGGUUAAAACUCAAAUGAAUUGACGG
rnacentral:rRNA from 1 species